GGUGAUGUGACUCUUCUGCCAGGGUCCUGCGUACUAGGUGGAUUGUGACAUCUCACUGGACCCGCAACCAUGUAGGUCAUGUGACUUUCAUGCCUUCUCACUGGCCACAGGUGAUGUUGUGCCAUAUAACUGAGACCGUAUCAAAAGCCUAAUAACAAGACGUAUGUCUGGAGCCCCGAUAUGCACAGGAUGGUGAGUCUUAUCGUUCAACUUUUCCACAAGUGUAAUUGUGACAUAUACCUCUGCCCAGCUCCUGAAUUAAUUAUUCUGCCUAGGUAUCGCCCACAAAUGAGAAUUUGACAAAUAACAGAGCCAAGCACCUUGAUGAUUUGACCGCGUUAUCUUAACAAUGUCCUCUGGAGGGAUUGUAACAUAUUUCUGGACCCAUUUUCUAGGUUACAUGACUCUCCCCUCCUGCCUGUGCCCUGAUUCCUUGGUAACUACAGCAUUUCUGAGCACUGCAUCCAAAUGAUAUGACUGUCUUGCCUGGGCCCUGUCAACAGGAGGCAUUGUGACAUAUUUUGGGGCCCAUCAUUUAGGGGAUAAGACUCUCCUCUCCUGCUUGGACACUGCCCACAAGGGACAUUGUGCCACAGCGCUGGACCUAGCACACAAGUUAUGUGACGUUUCUGACAGGUCUGCCUAAAAAGAGGAUUUUGGAAUAUUUCUGGCCCAGCAUUUAGGUGAUGUGGCUGUCCUGCCUGCUUCAUAACCACAGAGGGGAUUGUAACAUAUGCCUAGGCACAGCUCACAGGCAUGAUAAUGACUCUUAUAUAUGGAUUCAGCCAAUAGAGGAUAUUUUGACUUUUAUAACCAGAUUUACAUACAUGCAUGAUGUCUUGGAUCACAUUCCUGUACAAAGGUCACAAAAGAUUACAACACUCACACAUAUUUUACAAAGUCUUUCGGUAAUACAGACAGAGCCAAAGCAGGGCUCAGCACACACGUGAAAUUGUUAGUCAUGUAUCCAGACCCAGCUGACAGUAAGGAUUGUCAUCAUUUCACAUGGAUGAAGCCAACUGUGACACAUGAAAACAGAACAAGUGUGGUAUUGUGAAUCUCAUCUUUGGAAUUUUCUGACAGUACGAUUGUGAUACAAAUUUUUUCCAAGCAACUGUGUAAUUUGACCCUACAGAGUUUUUCCAGCACAUAUAUGGGAUUGUGAUGUCUACCUAGGCCAAUCUCAAGGUGAUAUAACCCUCUUCUCUGGAAUGGGCCCCACACAAAGGAAGGAUAGUGACAUAUUGCAAGCCCAGGCACACAGGCCCAGAGCACAGUUGAAAUUGUGACAUAUGUACACCAAGCAACCAAGCAAUGUAUAACACCUCAUUUGGCAAUGGAAUCGAGGGCACUUUUACAUAUCACUGAGACCAGCGCCCAGCUGAUGUGAAAUAUUGGCCUGAACCCUGCCUACAAAAGCAUUGUGGCUUUUAUCUAGCUCCAUUACAUAAGUGAUGUGACUUCCUUCUACUGCCUUGGCCCUGCACUUAUGGUGAAUCGUGACACAAAAUUGGGUAGAGCAACCAGCCUGGGCCCUGACCAGCACAGAGAUUGAGGCAUAUUGCUGAACCCAGGACCAAGAUGAAGUCACUCUCCUGCCUUGAUCCUGCACACAGGGACCCUUGUGACAUAUAUACAGGCCAAUUGCCUAGGUGAUGUUGUGCAAUAUACCUGAGACCAGAUCAAUGGCCUAAUAAUGACUCUUUUACCUAGAGCCAGGACAUGUGCAGGAUGGUAACUCUCAUCCCUGAACCUUUCCACAGGUGUUAUUGUCACAUAUACCUUUUCCAGCUCCAAAGUGAUUUAAUAAUCCAGCCUAGUUAUAGCCCACAGAUAAUAUUUGGACAUAUACCUGAGUCAAGAACCUUGGUGAUUUGACUCUCAUGUCUUAACAGUGUCCUCAGAAGGGAUCAUAACAUAUCUCUGGACCCAUCAUCUAGGUUAUGUGACUCUCUUCUCCUGCCUGAACCCUGCUUCCAGUGAAGAGUGUUGCAUUUCUAAGCACUGCAUCCAAAUGACAUGAGUUUCUUGCCUGGGCCGUUUCAACAGAAGGCAUUGUGACAUAUCUCUAGGUCUAUCAUUUAGGUGAUAUGACUCUCCUCUCCUGCCUGGACACUCUCCACAAGGGGCAUUAUGCCAUAGAGCUAGAGCUAGCAACCAAGUUUUGUGAAUUUUCUGUUAGGGCCUUGCCUACAAAGAGAAUUUUGGAAUAUUUCUGGCUUAGAAUUUAAGUAAUGUGGUUGUUCUGCCUGUUCAGUAACCACAGAGGAGAAGGUGAAAUAUAUCUAGGCACCGCAAACAGGCAUGAUAAUGAGUCUUGUAUGUGGACCCAGCAAAUAGGAGAAAUUUUGACUCUUAUAACUAGGUUUAGGAACAUGAGUGAUGUCCAGGAUCUCCUUCUGGUAAGAAGGUCACAGAAGAUUGCAACACUCACAAUUAUUUUGUAACACCUUUGGGUUGUAUAGGGAGUGUCGUAACAGGGCCAAACACACAGAGGAAAUUGUGACAGUCAUAUGCACACCUACCUGACAGUAAAGACUUUCACAAUCACAAAUGGAUGAAGGCAACUGUCCUACAUGAAAACAGGACAUGUGUGGUAUUGUACAUCUAAAACCUAGAAUUUUAUUCCAUUGUGACUGUGAUAUAAAUCAAUGCCAAGCA
rnacentral:lncRNA from 1 species